UUACGGCCAGAUCACGUUGAAGCACCGGCUCCCGAAGGAUCUCCGAAGUUAAGCAAUGUCAAGCCUGGUUAGUACCUAGAUGGAUGACCCCUUGGAAAUACCAGGUACUGUAAG